rnacentral:lncRNA from 1 species
GCGGUGUGUGCGCCGCCGCGGGCACCGCGCGGCUCGGAGGCUGCGGGGCCAGGCGUAACCGGAGCCGCCUCCCUCGCCUCCCUCGCUGCCCCUCGGCUCCUUUGCCGCCGCUUGGGCCUGAGCGUUCCCCCAGCUCGGGAACCGCACGCUGCUCUUGCCGGAGAGGGGCAUUCAGGCCGAGUAGUUUGUGGGAAACCUGCUCGAGAGCCUGGCAGAAAAAGCAUGCUUGAGAUGUAUCUGAGUAGUGAGGCCCCCUGCAUUCACAGCCCCUAGAAAUCAUUGUCUGCAUCGCUGAGUCUUGGCAGCAUAUUGGGCUUGCUGGUGGUAU